rnacentral:rRNA from 1 species
CCCUUAGAUGUUCUGGGCCGCACGCGCGCUACACUGAUGCAUUCAACGAGUUUCUUCCUGGUCCGAGAGGAAUGGGUAACCUUUUGAAAGUGCAUCGUGAUAGGGAUAGACUAUUGCAAUUAUUGGUCUUCAACGAGGAAUUCCUAGUAGACGUAGUUCAUCAGACUGCAUCGAUUACGUCCCUGCCCUUUGUACACACCGCCCGUCGCUCCUACCGAUUGAAUGAUCCGAUGAAUACCAUGGAUUGAGAGUACGAAUAGGUUCGCUUAUUUCUGCUGCUCGAGAAGUGGAGUAAAUCUUAUCAUUUAGAGGAAGGAGAAGUCGUAACA